rnacentral:rRNA from 1 species
CCGGGCGACCGGCGGACGGGUGCGUAACGCGUAUGUAACCUACCUUUGACAGGGGGAUAACAUCGAGAAAUUGGUACUAAUACCCCAUAACAUCACCGGAGGCAUCUUCGGUGGUUGAAAACUCAGGUGGUCAGAGAUGGACAUGCGUUGUAUUAGCUAGUUGGUGAGGUAACGGCUCACCAAGGCGACGAUACAUAGGGGGACUGAGAGGUCAACCCCCCACAUUGGUACUGAGACACGGACCAAACUCCUACGGGAGGCAGCAG